rnacentral:lncRNA from 1 species
CUCCACAGGGCUGGCUCCAAGUGUAGUUUCUCCAUUUUCUUCAUUUCAAUUAAAUCAGAAGAGGAAUCUACAUUGUUUUCAAUUUCAUCAUAAUCUUCCUCAUUUUCUGUUAGCUGAUCUGGAAGUUCUUUCAUUUCUGCAUCAACAUUGUCUUUAUUAUCAGACAGGGAAUCCAGAAUGUUAUCAGGACUAUAGUCUUCUCCACAGUCUACAGCACUGCUGUUGUCUAUUUCAGCUUCAUCUAACACACUAAUAUCCAUCAUGUCGAUGUCUUGUAAGGUAUCCAGGCUUGCUUCAAUAUCCUCCUGCCCGUCUCUGGAGUUUUCUUCUAGCCCAUUGUCUUCCACUCCUUCCUCUUCU